GGGCGCUUAGCUCAGUUGGCAGAGCGCUGGCUUUACAAGCCAGAUGUCGGGGGUUCGAGCCCCUCAGCGCCCA
rnacentral:tRNA from 1 species